rnacentral:tRNA from 1 species
GGCCGGUUAGCUCAGUGGUUUGAGCGCGAUGCUGACAAUGACCAACCCCGAGGUCGCGGGUUCGAUUCCCGCUCGGUCC